rnacentral:rRNA from 1 species
CCCUUAGAUGUUCUGGGCAGCACGCGCGCUACAAUGGUCUUCGCAAACGGAUGCAUUCUCGAAGGAGAAUGCCAAUCUUGGAAUCUAUGCCUUGGUCGGGACAGUUGCUUGCAAUUUUUCGACUCGAACCAGGAAUUCCUUGUAAUCGUGAUUCAUGACAUCACGAUGAAUACGUCCCUGCCCUUUGUACACACCGCCCGUCGCUCCUACCGAUCGAAGAGUUAGGUGAAUUGUUUUGAUCGAUAAGAUUUGACUAUGGUCAACUCUCGUUGUGAAAUUCUGUGAAUCUGACUGUUUAGAGGAAGGAAAAGUCGUAACA